GUGGGGAAUAUUGGACAAUGGGCGAAAGCCUGAUCCAGCCAUGCCGCGUGUGUGAAGAAGGUCUUCGGAUUGUAAAGCACUUUAAGUUAGGAGGAAGGGUAGUAACCUAAUACGUUGCUACUUUGACGUUACCGACAGAAUAAGCACCGGCUAACUUCGUGCCAGCAGCCGCGGUAAUACGAAGGGUGCAAGCGUUAAUCGGAAUUACUGGGCGUAAAGCGCGCGUAGGUGGUUCAGUAAGUUGGAAGUGAAAUCCCCGGGCUCAACCUGGGAACGGCUUUCAAAACUGCUGAGCUAGAGUACGGUAGAGGGUGGUGGAAUUUCCUGUGUAGCGGUGAAAUGCGUAGAUAUAGGAAGGAACACCAGUGGCGAAGGCGACCACCUGGACUGAUACUGACACUGAGGUGCGAAAGCGUGGGGAGCAAACAGGAUUAGAUACCCGUGUAGUCC
rnacentral:rRNA from 1 species